GAUGAACGCUGGCGGCGUGCCUAAUACAUGCAAGUCGAGCGAACAGACGAGGAGCUUGCUCCUCUGACGUUAGCGGCGGACGGGUGAGUAACACGUGGAUAACCUACCUAUAAGACUGGGAUAACUUCGGGAAACCGGAGCUAAUACCGGAUAAUAUAUUGAACCGCAUGGUUCAAUAGUGAAAGACGGUUUUGCUGUCACUUAUAGAUGGAUCCGCGCCGCAUUAGCUAGUUGGUAAGGUAACGGCUUACCAAGGCAACGAUGCGUAGCCGACCUGAGAGGGUGAUCGGCCACACUGGACCUGGGACACGGUCCAGCCUCCUACGGGGGGCAGCAGUAGGGAAUCUUCCGCAAUGGGCGAAAGCCUGACGGAGCAACGCCGCGUGAGUGAUGAAGGUCUUCGGAUCGUAAAACUCUGUUAUUAGGGAAGAACAAAUGUGUAAGUAACUAUGCACGUCUGGACGGUACCUAAUCAGAAGGCCACGGCUACCUACGG
rnacentral:rRNA from 1 species